UACGUAGGGGGCAAGCGUUGUCCGGAAUUAUUGGGCGUAAAGAGCGUGUAGGCGGUCCGGUAAGUCAGCUGUGAAAGUCAAGGGCUCAACCCUUGAAUGCCGGUUGAUACUGUCGGGCUAGAGUCCGGAAGAGGCGAGUGGAAUCCCGGUGUAGCGGUGAAAUGCGCAGAUAUCGGGAGGAACACCAAUGGCGAAGGCAGCUCGCUGGGACGGUACUGACGCUGAGACGCGAAAGCGUGGGGAGCAAACAGG
rnacentral:rRNA from 1 species